GAUGAACGCUGGCGGCGUGCCUAACACAUGCAAGUCGAGCGGACGGACGAGAAGCUUGCUUUUCUGAUGUUAGCGGCGGACGGGUGAGUAACACGUGGAUAACCUACCUAUAAGACUGGGAUAACUUCGGGAACUGGAACCACAUGCGGUUUAAGUUUUAAACCGGGGGGCUGAAAAGUAAAAUUCGGCCUUGCGCGUUCGUAUAGGUGGAUCCCGGCUGCAUUAGCUAGUUGGGUAGGUAACGGCCUACCAAGGCAACGAUGCAUAGCCGGACUGAGAGGAUGAUCGGCCACACUGGAACUGAGACACGGUCCAGACUCCUACGGGAGGCAGCAGUAGGGAAUCUUCCGCAAUGGGCGAAAGCCUGACGGAGCAACGCCGCGUGCGUGAAGAAGGUCUUCGGAUCGUAAACCUCUGUUAGUAGGGAAGAACAUAUGUGUAAUUAACUGUGCAGAUCUUGACGGUACCUAAACAGAAAGCCACGGCUAACUACGUG
rnacentral:rRNA from 1 species